rnacentral:rRNA from 1 species
CCUAGGGGUGGCUGCAGUGAGGAAUAUUGGUCAAUGGGCGCGAGCCUGAACCAGCCAAGUCGCGUGAGGGAGGACGGCCCUACGGGUUGUAAACCUCUUUUGCCGGGGAGCAACGGGCGUCACGUGUGGCGCCACUGAGAGUACCCGGAGAAAAAGCAUCGGCUAACUCCGUGCCAGCAGCCGCGGUAAUACGGAGGAUGCGAGCGUUAUCCGGAUUUAUUGGGUUUAAAGGGUGCGUAGGCGGGCUGUUAAGUCAGCGGUCAAAUGUCGGGGCUCAACCCCGGCCUGCCGUUGAAACUGGCGGCCUCGAGUGGGCGAGAAGUAUGCGGAAUGCGUGGUGUAGCGGUGAAAUGCAUAGAUAUCACGCAGAACUCCGAUUGCGAAGGCAGCAUACCGGCGCCCGACUGACGCUGAGGCACGAAAGCGUGGGUAUCGAACAGGAUUAGAUACCCGAGUAGUC